rnacentral:rRNA from 1 species
AUUGAACGCUGGCGGCAGGCCUAACACAUGCAAGUCGAGCGGAUGAGAAGGGCUUGCUCUUCGAUUCAGCGGCGGACGGGUGAGUAAUGCCUAGGAAUCUGCCUGGUAGUGGGGGACAACGUUUCGAAAGGAGCGCUAAUACCGCAUACGUCCUACGGGAGAAAGCAGGGGACCUUCGGGCCUUGCGCUAUCAGAUGAGCCUCGGUCGGAUUAGCUAGUUGGUGAGGUAAUGGCUCACCAAGGCGACGAUCCGUAACUGGUCUGAGAGGAUGAUCAGUCACACUGGAACUGAGACACGGUCCAGACUCCUACGGGAGGCAGCAGUGGGGAAUAUUGGACAAUGGGCGAAAGCCUGAUCCAGCCAUGCCGCGUGUGUGAAGAAGGUCUUCGGAUUGUAAAGCACUUUAAGUUGGGAGGAAGGGCAGUAAGUUAAUACCUUGCUGUUUUGACGUUACCGACAGAAUAAGCACCGGCUAACUCUGUGCCAGCCGCCGCAGUAAUAC